rnacentral:rRNA from 1 species
UACGUAGGGCGCAAGCGUUGUCCGGAAUUAUUGGGCGUAAAGAGCUCGUAGGCGGCCUGUCGCGUCUGCUGUGAAAUCCCGGGGCUUAACCCCGGGCGUGCAGUGGAUACGGGCUGGCUGGAGGCAGGCAGGGGAGAACGGAAUUCCCGGUGUAGCGGUGAAAUGCGCAGAUACCGGGAGGAACACCGGUGGCGAAGGCGGUUCUCUGGGCCUGUACUGACGCUGAGACGCGAAAGCGUGGGGAGCGAACAGG